rnacentral:rRNA from 1 species
AGAGUUUGAUCCUGGCUCAGAUUGAACGCUGGCGGCAGGCUUAACACAUGCAAGUCGAGCGGGGAAAGGUAGCUUGCUACCUGACCUAGCGGCGGGCGGGGNNNNNNNNNNNNNNNNNNNNNNNNNNNNNNNNGGACAACAUCUCGAAAGGGAUGCUAAUACCGCAUACGUCCUACGGGGGAAAGCAGGGGAUCUUCGGACCUUGCGCUAAUAGAUGAGCCUAAGUCGGAUUAGCUAGUUGGUGGGGUAAAGGCCUACCAAGGCGACGAUCUGUAGCCGGUCUGAGAUGAUGUCCGGCCGCGAUGGGACUGAGAUACGGCCCAUACUCCUACGGGAGGCGGCGGUGGGGAAUCUUGCGCAAUGGACGAAAGUCUGACGGAGCAACGCCGCAUGUAUGAUGAAGGUCUUCGGAUUGUAAAGUACUGUCGUUGGGGAAGAAUGGUUUGACGGUACCGUCGGAGGAAGCAACGGCUAACUCCGUGCCAGCAGCCGCGGUAAUACGUAGGUGGCAAACGUUGUCCGGAAUUACUGGGCGUAAAGGGCGCGUAGGCGGAUCAUUAAGUCCGGUGUGAAAGAUCAGGGCUCAACCCUGAGAGUGCAUCGGAAACUGGUGAUCUUGAGGACAGGAGAGGAAAGUGGAAUUCCUAGUGUAGCGGUGAAAUGCGUAGAUAUUAGGAGGAACACCAGUGGCGAAGGCGACUUUCUGGCUUGUAACUGACACUGAGGCGCGAAAGCGUGGGGAGCAAACAGGAUUAGAUACCCUGGUAGUCCACGCCGUAAACGAUGAGUGCUAGGUGUCGGAGGUAGCAAUACCUUCUGCCGCAGUGAACACAAUAAGCACCCCGCCUGGGGAGUACGGUCGCAAGACUAAAACUCAAAGGAAUUGACGGGGGCCCGCACAAGCGGUGGAGCAUGUGGUUUAAUUCGACGCAACGCGAAGAACCUUACCAGGGCUUGACAUCCUCGGAAUUUUGGGGAAACUCGGGAGUGACCGAAGGAGAUCCAAGACAGGUGGUGCAUGGUUGUCGUCAGCUCGUGUCGUGAGAUGUUGGGUUAAGUCCCGCAACGAGCGCAACCCUUGCAGCCAGUUGCCAGCAUUUAGUUGGGCACUCUGUCGAGACUGCCGUUGUUAAAACGGAGGAAGGUGGGGAUGACGUCAAAUCAUCAUGCCCCUUAUGUCUUGGGCUACACACGUACUACAAUGGCCUGAACAGAGGGAAGCAAAACUGCGAAGUUAAGCGAAUCCCUUAAAACAGGUCCCAGUUCGGAUUGCAGGCUGCAACUCGCCUGCAUGAAGUCGGAAUCGCUAGUAAUCGCAGGUCAGCAUACUGCGGUGAAUACGUUCCCGGGCCUUGUACACACCGCCCGUCACACCACGAAAGUCGGCAACACCCGAAGCCGGUGAGGUAACCCGAAAGGGAGCUAGCCGUCGAAGGUGGGGCCGAUAAUUGGGGUGAAGUCGUAACAAGGUAACCU